UUAAACUAUAACUAGCAAGAAAUGAGAAACUGAUUACAUCUGCUUAUUUGGACAGUGAAUGGAACCACAUAUUCUGCCUGUUGGCAGACACCAAAUCUGUAUAGUUUAUUUUCUUCAAAGGGAAUCAUGAUUGCCAACAAUCACUCAGCACCAACAAUUUAUUGAAUGUUUAUCUGCCUGCAUUCUUCUUGUGGCUGGAAAUGUAGCACUGAACCAGACCGAGACCCUGAUCCACUGGGUAUAUAGUUGGGGGAGUCAGACAUUCAUGAAAAUGACUUAUAUAGUGCCACAGAUAUUUCAAAAGAUGGAGUAAAGAGUUCUGUGGGUCUGAAUGAUAGGGUGUGCUAACCAAAUAUGGGAAGUUGGCGAAGGUCUCCUAGAAGAAUUGGUGCAAAACUUGAGUCUCAAAGGAUAAGCUGGGUGAGGAGUUGGGCACAGUAUUCUGGGCAGUGGGAACAUCAUGGAUAGAAGCCUGGAUGCAGAGGAGAGACUGAUGCACUUGUGGACAUGAAGGAGAUCAGCGUGACUGGACUGGAGCUCACUUCCUGGUAUUUUUCACCUCAUUGCAUCCCUGGUUGGUUUCUGUUGCUUGCAAUGGAAGAACCCUAACAAAUGCAAUAAUGCAGAAGUAACAAUGAAGAUGACACUGAUUCACACAAGAUUUAAUUUGUUACAUGAGUAAAUAAACAAAGCAAAAUGAACAGAAUUUACCAUACUGCAUCCCUGCUGGGAGUGUGUUGAGUUAUCUGGACUGGAAGGGCUUUGUGACCUGUUGAAAGAAUAUACAUGGAUUUACUUCAGGAGAAAAAUAAAUAUAAAGUGUUAUUUUAAAAA
rnacentral:lncRNA from 1 species